rnacentral:rRNA from 1 species
CAGCAGCCGCGGUAAUACGGAGGAUCCAAGCGUUAUCCGGAAUCAUUGGGUUUAAAGGGUCCGUAGGCGGUCUUGUAAGUCAGUGGUGAAAGCCCAUCGCUCAACGGUGGAACGGCCAUUGAUACUGCAGGACUUGAAUUAUUGGGAAGUAACUAGAAUAUGUAGUGUAGCGGUGAAAUGAUUAGAGAUUACAUGGAAUACCAAUUGCGAAGGCAGGUUACUACCAAUUGAUUGACGCUGAUGGACGAAAGCGUGGGUAGCGAACAGGAUUAGAUACCCGGGUAGUCCCUGUCUCUUAUAC